rnacentral:rRNA from 1 species
CCUACGGGUGGCAGCAGUGGGGAAUAUUGGACAAUGGGCGAAAGCCUGAUCCAGCCAUGCCGCGUGUGUGAAGAAGGCCUUCGGGUUGUAAAGCACUUUCAGUGGGGAAGAAAGCCUUGGGGCUAAUACCCUCGAGGAAGGACAUCACCCACAGAAGAAGCACCGGCUAACUCCGUGCCAGCAGCCGCGGUAAUACGGAGGGUGCGAGCGUUAAUCGGAAUUACUGGGCGUAAAGCGCGCGUAGGCGGUCUGAUAAGUCGGUUGUGAAAGCCCCGGGCUCAACCUGGGAACGGCAUCCGGAACUGUCAGGCUAGAGUGCAGGAGAGGAAGGUAGAAUUCCCGGUGUAGCAGUGAAAUGCGUAGAGAUCGGGAGGAAUACCAGUGGCGAAGGCGGCCUUCUGGACUGACACUGACGCUGAGGUGCGAAAGCGUGGGUAGCAAACAGGAUUAGAUACCCGAGUAGUC